GUCCUACGGGGGGCAGCAGUGGGGGAUAUUGCACAAUGGAGGGAACUCUGAUGCAGCGACGCCGCGCGAGGGAAGAAGGUUUUCGGAUUGUAAACCUCUGUCUUCGGUGACGAAACGAGACGGUAGCCGAGGAGGAAGCCACGGCUAACUACGUGCCAGCAGCCGCGGUAAUACGCAGGUGGCAAGCGUUGUCCGGAAUUACUGGGUGUAAAGGGAGCGCAGGCGGGAAGCCAAGUCAGCUGUGAAAACUACGGGCUUAACUUGUAGACUGCAGUUGAAACUGGUUUUCUUGAGUGAAGUAGAGG
rnacentral:rRNA from 1 species